ACAGUUAAGUACCACGCUGGACUGCCUACGUGUAUACAAGAGUACACGUGGCAAAAUUUUAGUGGUCCGUAAUUUUAAUUUUAAAUAUACUAAAAAUAAUUUGAAAAUUAAAAAAAAAAAUCUUUUUUUUUUCUCUUUUUCUUUUUCUUUUUCUUUCUCUUUCUCUUUCUUCUCGACAGAACUCCCUUUAACCCUUUUUCUUCUUCUUCUUCUUCUUCUCGACAGAACACCCCACCCCCCCAAAUAGCCUUCACCUUCCCCAGCCCCAGCCCCAGCCCCAGCCCCAGCCCCUUGCUCCUCCACGAUACUUGUCUUCACCUGCACAACCCUCUGCUCAACCCGUUUAGGCCGCCUUCGACCACCAACGGUCCAAACGGAUCACAGAAUUACAUCCCUUGGUCUUGAAACUCAAAACCCUGAGCCGCCAUCUCUCCCCAAUAUCUCUCUCACUCUCAGUUUUUCUCAACCCAAAAGUCUCUUCAACGUCGUCAUCGAGGAACCCUGCAGAGGUUGCAAACCACGUCCAUCAUCUCCAAUCACCAUCUCGGAGCUCCAGUCGCCAUCUAAUCUUCCCCAUUUUUUUCGUUCAAUCGCCCCUCCUUUGUCACAACUCCGUUCGAUUCUGUUUUCACCCCAGCCCAAGUCCAUCAUCUUUGAAAGCUUCCAUAGCCAUCAACGCUACCAUUAAAGGUUGAUUAGGAUCUGAUAAAUGUAAUGGUGGUGUUUGCGUGGUGGUGAUGGUAUUGCAGUGAUGAUUCGAUGCUGGCGGUGGUGUUGAUAUAAUGAAUGAAAAAGAAGAAGAAGAAGAAAAAUUGGGAAAAAAAAAGAAGAAAAAUCUUAAUUUUUUUAUUCUAUAAAAUGAUUUAUUUUUAAUUUUAAAUUAAUUUAUAAUAUUAUUAUUUAAUUUUGUAUA